rnacentral:rRNA from 1 species
UACGUAGGGGGCAAGCGUUGUCCGGAUUCAUUGGGCGUAAAGAGCGUGUAGGCGGCCAGGUAGGUCGGUUGUGAAAACUGGAGGCUCAACCUUCAGACGUCGACCGAAACCAUCUGGCUAGAGUCCGGGAGAGGAGAGUGGAAUUCCUGGUGUAGCGGUGAAAUGCGCAGAUAUCAGGAGGAACACCGGUGGCGAAGGCGGUUCUCUGGGCAUGUCCUGACGCUGAGGAGCGAAAGUGUGGGGAGCGAACAGG